UUUGCAAAAUGGGCCUUGUUGAGGUGGUGAGUGGGGGGUUGAGGGGCCUCGGAGGAAGAGGCUUGCCCAGGACUAUAUUAAAGUGAGGACCGCCACUGACGGUUUCCAUACAAAAAAAAACAAAGUAAAGGCAGGAAUCUGAUGAAGAUGUGGCCGGAGUUCUUCCUUCUUGUGGUACAUCUGUGGAGCUAGAACUGUGUUAUAACACAUCGAAAGACAUAAAUAAACUUUAAUAAACUUCAAAACUGACUGAGAAGGCGCCCAGUUGUUCAUUUACGCAAUCCCACCUUAAAAAGUUACACACACGGCCAACAGAUUACAAGAAAAGCAAAAAAAAAAAAAAAAAAAAGGAAAAAUAUGUUUUGGCCGACUGCAUGUGUGACAAAAAUCGCCACUAAGGAGGAUUAUUGUGUCAGAUGGCGUGUACACAAUUUAAUUUGUACUUUCCAGUGUGCAUGUAAAGAGCGGGAGUUUUACACUUUCACUAUUGGUAUCAUUUAUCAUUUAUUUUUUAUUUUUAAAUAUCACAAUAAAUAUACUACAUAUGGACAUUGGCUUUGGUAAGAGUUACAAGUUCAUCAUUGUUUGUUUCUCCACUUCACACGCUCGGACGUGACCUUUGUCGCUCGUCCCAUCGGUGGCACCGGCAAAACGGAUGUAUCAUGAUGACACGGGGGUGAGGGGUCAUGGGGGUGAGGGAGCGGUCGCUGUGUGGAGAUCAUGUGGCUCAAACAAACUUAUAACACGAGGAAAAAAACUUUACAGUUUCAUGCAUGCAGAUAGGUUUUAAUGCUUCAAAAGAGAUACAGGAGUGGGAUGGCCACAGUAAACUUGAAUUUAUUGACACAAAAAAAACAAUAUGAUCCUUUAUCCUCUUCACCCUUAAAAACACAGGUUUUUGGGUUUUUUUUAUCUUUUUUUUUUUUUUAAAAGAAUUUGGAAAAAAACAAAAAAAAAA